AAACGUAGGAGGCGAGCGUUAUCCGGAUUUACUGGGCGUAAAGCGCGUGCAGGCGGUCAUGCAAGUUGGGCGUGAAAUCUCCUGGCUUAACUGGGAGGGGUCGUUCAAGACUGUGUGACUUGAGUGCAGGAGAGGGGAGCGGAAUUCCUGGUGUAGCGGUAAUAUGCGCAGAUAUCAGGAGGAACAUCCGUGGCGAAGGCGGCUUCCUGGCCUGUAACUGACGCUCAGACGCGAAAGCUAGGGUAGCGAACGGGAUUAGAUACCCCGGUAGUCCUAGCUGUAAACGAUGGAUACUAGGUGUGGGUGGUAUUGACCCCAUCCGUGCCGAAGCUAACGCGUUAAGUAUCCCGCCUGGGGACUACGACCGCAAGGUUAAA
rnacentral:rRNA from 1 species